AUACAUAGGGGGCAAGCGUUAUCCGGAAUUAUUGGGCGUAAAGGGUGCGUAGGCGGCCAUUUAAGUUUGAGGUGUAAGUUCAAGGCUCAACCUUGUGAUGCUUCAAAAACUGGAUGGCUUGAGAGAGGUAGAGGCAAGUGGAAUUCCAUGUGUAGCGGUAAAAUGCGUAAAUAUAUGGAGGAACACCAGUGGCGAAGGCUGCUUGCUGGGCCUUAUCUGACGCUGAGGCACGAAAGCGUGGGGAGCAAACAGGAUUAGAUACCCUGGUAGUCCACGCCGUAAACGAUGAGUACUAAGUGUCGGGAGAACCCGGUGCUGCAGUUAACGCAUUAAGUACUCCGCCUGAGUAGUACGUGCGCAAGCAUAAAACUCAAAUGAAUUGGCGGGG
rnacentral:rRNA from 1 species